rnacentral:rRNA from 1 species
GAUGAACGCUGGCGGCGUGCCUAAUACAUGCAAGUCGAGCGAACAGACGAGGAGCUUGCUCCUCUGACGUUAGCGGCGGACGGGUGAGUAACACGUGUAUAACCUACCUAUAAUACUGGUAUAACUUCGGGAAACCGGAGCUAAUACCGGAUAAUAUAUUGAACCGCAUUGUUCAAUAGUUAAAUUCGGUUUUUCUGUCACUUAUAGCUUGAUCCGCGCCGCAUUAGCUAGUUGGUAAGGUAACGGCUUACCAAGGCAACGAUGGGUAGCCGACCUGAGAGGGGGAUAGGAGACACGGGAACUGAGACACGGACAAGAGGACUACGGGAGGCAGCAGAAGGGAAUGGGACGCAAUGGGGGAAAGAAUGACGGAGCAAGGCGGAGUGAGAGAUGAAGGUGUUAGGAGCGUAAAACACUGUUAUGAGGGAAGAACAAAUGUGUAAGUAAAUAAGCAGGGAGUGACGGUAACGAAUAAGAAAGCCACGGCUAACUACGUG